GCGCAGAUAAGACUCCCCCACUCCCGAUGGCGGAGCCUGAAAGGGAAGUUGGGAUGCUGCAAGCGAUGAAGCGCUGUUUGGCUGAUUUCCCCACCGAAGCCCGGGAGUUGUGUUGGUCAGAAUCAGUGCCGUACCUUGAUAUUCUUCCACCUCCCCUGGAAUUCUACCGGGAAUGGAUCUGCCCAAACAAACCAUGUAUAAUCCGAAAUGCUUUCCACCACUGGCCGGCUCUGAAGAAGUGGACCUUGGGUUACUUGAGGCAAAUAAUGGGCUCCAAGCUGGUGAGUGUGGCAGUAACCCCCAAUGGUUAUGCUGAUGCGGUUUAUCAGGACUGGUUUGUUAUGCCAGAGGAGCGUCAUAUGCCUUUCAGUGCUUUUUUGGACAUUUUGGAAAAGAAGAUAACUUCUCCAGGGGUGUUCUAUGUGCAGAAACAGUGUUCAAACCUGACUGAGGAAUUUCCUGAACUUAUAGGUGAUGUGGAGCCUGAGAUACCUUGGAUGAGCGAAGCACUGGGAAAGAAGCCCGAUGCUGUGAAUUUCUGGCUGGGAGAAUCUUCUGCAGUGACUUCAUUACACAAAGACCACUAUGAAAACUUGUACUGCGUGAUUUCUGGAGAAAAACAUUUUUUGUUACAUCCGCCCAGUGACCGUCCCUUCAUCCCAUAUGAGUUAUAUCCACCAGCAACUUACCACAUCUCAGAAGAUGGAUCAUUUGAUAUUCUGGAAGAUAAAACGGCAGAGAAGGUACCCUGGAUCCCUUUAGAUCCUUUAAGUCCAGAUCUGAAACAAUACCCAGAAUACACUCAGGCAAAGCCUUUAAGAUGUACUGUGAAGUCUGGUGAAAUGUUGUAUCUUCCUUCUCUUUGGUUCCAUCAUGUUCAGCAAUCACAUGGCUGUAUAGCAGUAGUUGGAACUUCCGCUUGAAAUAAUAUUUAUUUUAUGGAAGGCAACUCAGGAUCCAAGCCAGCCUUUGAACAGAUGAGAUCUGAAAAUAAUGUUGUAUUUUAAUUGGAAAGUUCAAAUUCUACCACUAUAUUUUGACAGUUUAACAGUUUCUCUGCUGCAAAUCAAAGUAAGAAUUGCAUAUAGGCUUGAAUUAUUGGUAUGAUAUGGAAUAUGAUCUAAAAUACUCCUAUUAUCAGCUGCUGGAUUCUCUCACAAAAGUUGCACAACCAAUUUUGGAUUCUUCGUGGAACACCUAACCUUUUACACCUGAUAUGGAAC